rnacentral:rRNA from 1 species
GGUCAAGUUAUUAAGGGUGCAGGGCGGAUGCCUUGGCACUAGGAGCCGAUGAAGGACGUGAUAAGCUGCGAUAAGCUUCGGGGAGUUGCACGUAAACUUUGAUCCGAAGAUUUCCGAAUGAGGAAACUCACUUAGAGUAAUGUCUAAGUAUCAUUAAGUGAAUACAUAGCUUAAUGAGGGGAACUCAGGGAACUGAAACAUCUAAGUACCUGAAGGAAGAGAAAGAAAUUCGAUUCCGUAAGUAGCGGCGAGCGAACGCGGAUUAGCCCAAACCAAUAAAGUUUUCUUUAUUGGGGUUGCGGACAUAUCAUAACGAAGAGGUAUCGUAAUUGAAGAGGUUUGGAAAGACCCACCACAGAAGGUAAUAGUCCUGUAUGUUAAACGAGAAGACUUUAGAUAUGAUCCAGAGUACCACGGGACACGUGAAACCCUGUGGGAAGCAGGAGGGACCACCCUCCAAGGCUAAAUACUACCUAGUGACCGAUAGCGUAUAGUACCGUGAGGGAAAGGUGAAAAGAACCCCGGGAGGGGAGUGAAAUAGAACCUGAAACCCUGCACUUACAAGCUGUGGAAGCACAUUUCUUGUGUGACCGCGUACUUUUUGUAGAACGGGCCAACGAGUUACGUUAAGUAGCAAGGUUAAGCACUUAAGGUGCGGAGCCGUAGCGAAAGCGAGUUUUAACUGAGCGUUCAGUUACUUGACGUAGACCCGAAACCGGGCGACCUACCCAUGAGCAGGAUGAAGCGAAAGUAAAAUUUCGUGGAGGUCCGAACCCACGAGCGUUGAAAAGCUCGGGGAUGACUUGUGGGUAGCGGUGAAAUUCCAAUCGAGCCCGGAGAUAGCUGGUUCUCCCCGAAAUAGCUUUAGGGCUAGCCUCAAGGUGAGAGAUACGGAGGUAGAGCACUGAAUGUCCUAGGGGGUAUUGCACCUACCGAAGACUAUCAAACUCCGAAUGCCGUCAUCUUAUACUUGGGAGUCAGACUGUGGGUGAUAAGAUUCAUAGUCGAAAGGGCAACAGCCCAGAUCGUCAGCUAAGGUCCCUAAAUGUAAGUUAAGUGGUAAAGGAUGUGGGAUUGCACAGACAACCAGGAUGUUGGCUUAGAAGCAGCCACUCAUUCAAAGAGUGCGUAAUAGCUCACUGGUCGAGUGAUCCUGCGCCGAAGAUUUCCGGGGCUAAAACUUACUACCGAAGCUACGGCAUCAGUAAUGAUGGGUAGGGGAGCUUCCCAUACGGGUUGAAGCAUGACCGUAAGGACAUGUGGACAGUAUGGGAGUGAGAAUGUUGGCAUGAGUAGCGAGAUGU